rnacentral:rRNA from 1 species
AAAAUUUGACAAUGGGGGGAACCCUGAUCCAGCCAUGCCGCGCGUGUGAAGAAGGUGUCCUGAUUGUAAAGCACUGUAUGUUGGGAGGAAGAGUUGUAGUCUAAUACCUUGCAAUUUUGACGUUACCAACAGAAUAAGCACCGGCCAACUUCGAGCCAGCAGCCGCGGUAAUACGAAGGGUGCAAGCGUUAAUCGUAAUUAAUGUGCGUAAAGAAGGCGUAGGUGGUUGGUUAAGUUGGAAGUGAAAGCCCCGGGCUUAACCUGGGAAUUGCUUUCAAAACUGACGAGCUAGAGUACGGUAGAGGGUAGUGGAAUUUCCUGUGUAGCGGUGAAAUGCGUAGAUAUAGGAAGGAACAUCAGUGGCGAAGGCGACUACCUGGACUGAUACUGACACUGAGGUGCGAAAGCGUGGGGGGCAAACAGG